AUGCGGGAUCACUUGUUUCAACUGCUCGGCACUAGUUUCUUCCCAAGAUGGAAAGAAAAGCACCAGGUCAGACUGACGUACUUGGUCCACGGUCCAACUUUUCACUUGCCGCCUCCUUACUCAAUUAUCAUUCAGGAAUCCGAAGCUGGGAGCUGGCACGUGCCAACGACGACCGGCGAUGGCAUCGAGAGCCCGCGGCAGUGGGUCUGCGCCACCAGGAAAACUUCGGAGAAACCAUCUUCCCCGGCGUCCCAAGCUCGCACCACUAGCGAAACACUGGAGAGCCCGUCUACUCCGCCGCCCCAGGGUCGCGCCCGUGGCAAAACUUCGUAG
rnacentral:rRNA from 1 species